rnacentral:rRNA from 1 species
AGAGUUUGAUCCUGGCUCAGAACGAACGCUGGCGGCGGGCUUAACACAUGCAAGUCGAACGAGAAAGCACUUCGGUGUGAGUAAAGUGGCGCACGGGUGAGUAACACGUAGGUAACCUACCUCAAAGCGGGGGAUAACUCGGAGAAAUCCGAGCUAAUACCGCAUAAGCACUACGGUGUAAAGAUGGCCUCUCCUUGGAAGCUAUCACUUUGAGAUGGGCCUGCGGGGCAUUAGUUUGUUGGUGGGGUAAUGGCUUACCAAGACUACGAUGUCUAGCCGGUCUGAGAGGAUGAUCGGCCACACUGGAACUGAGACACGGUCCAGACUCCUACGGGAGGCAGCAGUGGGGAAUAUUGCGCAAUGGAGGAAACUCUGACGCAGCCACGCCGCAUGAGUGAGGAAGGCUUUCGGGUUGUAAAACUCUGUCACAUAGGAAAAACAGCUAGAUUUCAAAUAGGCUUCUAGCCUGAUGGUACUAUGAAAGGAAGCACCGGCUAACUUCGUGCCAGCAGCCGCGGUAAUACGAAGGGUGCAAGCGUUGUUCGGAUUUAUUGGGCGUAAAGCGCGCGCAGGCGGAUUUGUAAGCCAGAUGUGAAAUCUCGGGGCUCAACCCCGAAACUGCGUCUGGAACUGCUUAUCUAGAAUCUUGGAGGGGGAAGUGGAAUUUCGCAUGUAGGAGUAAAAUCCGUAGAGAUGCGAAGGAACACCGGAGGCGAAGGCGACUUCCUGGCCAAGUAUUGACGCUGAGGCGCGAAAGCGUGGGGAGCAAACAGGAUUAGAUACCCUGGUAGUCC